AUUGAAACAUUCAAACGAAACAUCAAAACCCACAACCACUCCUGAAUUCAUCAUCUUCUUCAGCUCUUUGGCACUCUUCCUUUUCUUUCCCUGUCAAAUGAAUCGAACCCAAAGAUCCACCUGAUUUCGGUUCUUCUUCCCUCCUUAUUCAGUACAAGCAAAGAAAACUCCACCUUCUUCUUUAUCUUUCUUCUUUCCUCAACAGCUAGAGCACAAAUGGUGCUCCCUUGAUCAACGACUGUAAAAGCCUCUCCCUCCUCCUUCUACCUUUUCCUGUCAAAAAAAAUAAAUAAAUAAAACAAACACCCCCUCUGAUCGACUUUUCUGGCUGCAUCGUCAUCCUUUGGGUUGGAUGCAAAACCACAAAAAAAUAAAAAAAAUAAAAAGAUUAAGUCGCUGCUUACCUUGCCCCAUCGAAGACUUCCUUUCGGUUCUGCCUUGGUUUCCCCUUCGCGACCAGCGAAAGACCGGAUACCUCUUUUCCCUCGCUUUCCUUCUCUCCUGUUCCCAUCGACCACAGACCUCCGAAUGUCUCGUCUUCGAUGCUACUGCUUCUUGCGACGCCGGAACUUCGCACCUUGCAGCCGGACGAGAAGAGGGAAGCUUCGCUGCUUCUUCUCUUCGUUUCUUCGGCCUCGACAACCCCCGGAGACGCUCCUUCCGCCUACGAUCGAUCCACGACCCUCAGAUCUCGUACCCGCCUGCGAGCCUUCGUGCUCCCUCUUGCCGCCGUCGUUGUUCGUGUCUAUGUCGUUCCUUCGUGUUCAUCUUCCUUCCAUUUGAACGAUCAGACAAAAACGGGACAUAAAAGCCCUAAUUUCCUUUCGACUUUGAUUAAGUUGAUAAAAUAACCCGUACAACAUUUAUUUUAGAAAUCAGCCCCAAACCCCCAAAUAUUGAACCCAUUUAUUCAAAAUAGCACCUCUUUUGGUUAUUUUUAACAAAAUAGCACCUCUUUUGGUUAAUUCUAACAAAAUAAAUCCCAAUAUACAAACUUUCAAUAAAAAUAAUAUGUUCAACCCCUGCCUAUAUUUUUUUUAACCAAAUCAGUCAUACUUUGGUUAAUUAAAUUACCAAACAACCUCUAUAGUUGAAAUUUGUUGCAAAACGGUCCCAAAAAUGUUUCAUAAAUAAACGAACUCCGAACAAUUCGAACUCACGCUUCCACGGUGAGUGCUUAUGGCCCCAAUUUAAUAUUUUUAAUUAUUUCUCGCAGGAGGGGGGGUGGAAUACAUGUGCUUAUAUACUUCGUGUAUACAAACAUCUUAUCAUUUCAUACGAAAAAUACAAUAAUCCCAUUUUUUUUAAAAUGUCAUUUAACAAGGUAACGUAUCGUUACAAAUAAACUAGUUUAGACUUUUUGUAUACAUAUUAUCGUUAUUUUAUCAAGAAAUAACUAGUUCACACAACAAAUGCUACAUGAUACAAAAAUAUAUGAUUUUUGGUGACAUUAUAUAUUAAAACAAGCACGUUAUAAAAUUUUGUACUAUUUCAAGGAUUCAAACUAUUACUAUUCAUGCAUAUUUAGAUGUUUAAAUACAUAAAGUUUAUACAUGUACAUAUGUUCAUUACUUUGAAACAUAUAUCUUUAUAAAACCGACUACAUUAUACUUUUACAUACAUACCAAGCGAACUCGGCUUUUGUCAACUUUAUACAAUCAAAUGCAUUAUGCCUAGUGACUUAACCACAAUUAGGUUAAGGUUGAGAGAUAUUCACAUACUUUAGUUCUGGGAUUUUUAGUGAGACUAUAUUCAUUAUCUGAGUCUAAACACUUAGCAUACCCACACUGCUAUAACUAUUGAUAUUCGGAGCAAGAUACAUGUGUAUAGAUCCAUACUGGGUUGACAUCCCCACCUACGGUUGCUAGAUACAAUCUCAACCGAUCAGUCGAAGCCAGUGAUAAGUGUCUAUAAUUGUUACUACAAAGCCCAAUGAAGCCUUAUAGGGGGUACAUUCAGUCACAUAGCUCGGUUAUAGGACUCACGAUAAAAAUUAACUAGAAUUCUCUCUCUCUCUCUCUCUCUCUCUCUCUCUCUCUUUGACGACAAACCAUGGGCUUGGUUGCUUUCAAAACUACUUCAGGUAAUGGAAUUACUUAUGUAACAGUACAUUUUGGUUUUCAAGUACAUUCAAAGAUUCAUUACAAACAUAGUUUUAUGUAUGGGUUUACUUAUACAAAAGAUACAUUUUGGCAUUCAAAGAUUCAUUACAAAUACAGUUUUAAGCAUAGACUUACUUAUACAAAGAUACAUUUCGGCUUUUAAAGACUCAUUGCAAACAAUGUUUUAACUAUUGCUACACAUACUAAUAAAAUACUUUUUAAACUUUUAAAAGUAUUAUUGUUGUUAACAGAAAACCUGUAACACUCACCAACCUUGUGUUGACCGUCAAAACUACAUGUGCUCUCAAGAAAUCACUAAACAUACAUUCAAGACGGAUUUGAUUACAGGUGGCCUAGUUAUUUGUUGUUGUAUUAUAUGCAUGUCUAUUAAGGCAAUUAAUGUACUAUUAUUAUCUAAAAAAACAUUUUAUUCAAAUAUCAAAAUGGAACACAAAUGCUAUUUUGUUUAGUGUUGUACUUGUGCAUAUAUUCAGUUUACCUGCGAUCCAUGAACUUAGUUGCAUAGCACGACAUGUUCCUGUUGGUUUUGUAUACUACAACAUCCUAUGGUGCAUAUACAACCCUUGAAGCUUCGGAUCUAUAUUUUCACUAAUUAUACAUGCAAAUGGUUUCCAAAGCUUUAAGCCUACAACUAACAUACAAAUGAGAUAAACUACAUAAAAUACUAGUUAGAAGUUUACCUCAUUGUGUAGCUUGUAUAACUUGAUGAAUUUGGCCUUAAAGAGCUUAGCCCCAAUAGUGUGGAAGCCUCAAAUUAGGUCACAACACAUCAUGGACAAAGGUGCAACUUGAGAGAGAAUUCCAUGCACCCAAAAACACCCAUGAACUCCAAGAACAAGCAUGUAGGCGUUUUUUUAGGUUAAGAGCAUGUAUUUAUAUGUUGGAUUUCAAGGGUCAUGGGUAUAACCUAAAUCCAUACCCAUGGGUUUAUGAUCCAUGGUUCAUGUGGCCCAACUCUUUAUGUAUCCAUACAUAAACUUGGUCCAACAUGGAUCAUAAGGCCAACACAUAUAAAUAUAACUAAUUAUCAUAAUUAGUCAUCAUAGAUUUAAUUAGUCUCUUUUGAUCACUAAAUUAAUUCCAAAUUAAUUAUUAAUCAAUACUAAUUCAAACAUAUAAUUUCAUAUUAAUAUAUUAUAACUUAUAAUAUAUUGAUAAAUCGUAUAUAACCUUUCUCUCAAGAGUCCAUCCUAACAAAUUAUCCUGAUGAUAUGCAACCUAAAUGGAUCAUGCUACUCUCGGGUCAAGUACAUACCAAUAAUAGUUAUAGGCUUAGACAUCUAAUCCAACAGUUCCGCCACCUCGGGCAGGGGUGUAAUAGAUUAUUAUCAGAGCUAAAUUGGCUGUAGAGAACUCUUAUCCUCAAAAGAGGAAUACAAAUAUAGCAACUAGCUUAUAAUAAAAGUAUUAUUGUUAAUUACACUACUUCUUGGCUACUUACGGUACGGGGAAUCUGGUUUAAAGGGCUUCAUAGGGUUGUUGGAUUUCAGAACGGCUUANCCCCCCCCCCCCCCCGAUGUUUCCUGUCUGGCCCUCAUUUGUACUUGGUAUUCUUGGGGUACAAAACAAACAAUAAUAAUUCUUCAAACCUCACCAACAAUAAUAUAUAAAAUUUAUAUAUAUACUCUGACCCGCGAUGAUAACACUUAAUAAAAUUCUAACAUAUCUCCCACUAAAACUACCAAAUCAACCCUUUAGGUCAAACCUCUCAACAAAGGUUAGUACUAAGCCAUACCUUAAAUAAACCUGGAACGUAUGCCUAUUUUAUUUAUGGUCGGGCAUGCACACAACCAACCUUGAGCAAGGAUUUUGACAGGCUACAAUGGUUGAAAGUUUUAGAGAUUGAAGGAUGUAUUCAAGAUUCGCUACAGAAACCUAGUACCUUAGCUACCUUAUAUCAACCCUAAAACAACAUAUGCAUUUUAAAUACUUAAAAAUCUAGGAUAAUGUUCAAAUUUUCCAAGUUCAUUUAAACUUGAAGGAGAACAAAGAAUCAAUAGCUCCUCUACCAUCAUAGCAGAGAAACCCAUAGUUCCUAAUUGAUCAUCCAUUAGUCUCCAAACUUAUCUCCUUAUCAUUUGAAAUUAGUAGGAUUUCAAUUCUCUCUCUAUAAUUAGGAAAUCUAUAGGUGUCACACCCCAAAACCGGAACGGCGGAAACGUUCUGGGGUGGAUGACUUCAUGUCAAGUAUCACAACACAUGCAUUAUAUUAAUCAAAGUACAACAAAACAUUGCAUUAAUAGUAAUAAUUUUACAUGGUUACAUUACAAUACAUCAAAGUAAUAUAAGUAGUAGAAUAAAUACAGCGUGGUACUAAGCUAUCUUCAUCAACAGCUCCGGGGAUGUACCUGUCUAAUGCUAACCUGCGAAUACAAGUUAUUUGAAAAGCGAGUAUCAACAUUUUUACAAUGCUGGUGAGUUCAUAAGCAUUUAGUGUCAUUUAAUCAAAUAACUUUAUAAAGUAGUAGUUUAAGUGUUUACUGUGUAUUAGAGUUCUUUCCAGAAAAUCAUGUAUUUUCUUUAAUAAAGCAGCCUUCUACUGUCACACCCCCAAACCAAGGAUGGCGGAAACGUCCAGGGGUGGAGGACUUCAUGUACAGUAUCACAACAACAUGUAUAAUAGUGCUCAAAGUAAAUACAACCAUCAUAAAUAUAAUUGAAAAAGUUACACCAAAGUAUAUGUUUACAUGUUUCAAAAUCAAUUACAUUGUGAUGAUAAAAAUAAAAAUAAAUUGUUGACGGUUUAACGUCCUAUCCUCAAAGCAUUGAAGUUUUCCUGUUUCACUGAUUUCCUGAGAAUACAAGUAGUUUUGAAAAGUGUCAACAAUUAAGUUGGUGAGUUCAUAAGAGUUUUGUUUGGAGUAGAAACCAUUUUUCCUUUUUAAAGGCGAUAGGAUAUGUAUCCAGAAAAUCCAAUAUUUUCUUAGUUAGGUGUAAACAGAAUAUUCCUAUAUGAUGUGUUGAUGAACCCUAGAUUGACCCGUAGAUUUCCUCUAUAAUCAUCCAGCAUAUAUAAGUUAUAGAAGAUUUAAGUUAGAUAAAACGUCGAAUGUAAUGGGUCCGCCCUAGGUCCACAACCCAACGAGGAACAGGAGAUGAGGCGGGCACCACCAAUUCUAAGCCAAUCCAGACUAAAUUCUUGUAUGACUCAAGCAUAUACGCUCAACGAUUAUAGUUGAAGUCUAACAAUGCGAACCUUUAAUGUGAAUAUAACCUAUACAUAUCAUAGUUCACCGGGGAGUAAUAGAGAUUAGUGAACCUGAACUAUGCAUAUGAUAGCUUAUCAAAAGUGAUGGUGAAUAUAACCUAUAUGAUGUGUUAAUGUAUCCUAGAUUGACCCGUAGAUUUCCCCUAUAAUUGUCCAGCGUAUAUAAGUUAUAGAAGAUUUAGGUUAGAUAAAACGUCGAAUGUAGUGGGUCUGCCCUAGGUCCACAACCCAACGAGGAACAGGAGAUGAGGCGGGCACCACCAAUUCUAAGCCAAUCCAGACUAAAUUCUUGUAUGACUCAAGCAUAUACGCUCAACGAUUAUAGUUGAAGUCUAACAAUAUGAAAAUCUAUUGUGAUUAUAACCUAUACAUAUCAUAGUUCACCGGGGAGUAAUAGGGAUUAGGGAACCUGAACUAUGCAUAUGAAUAGCUUAUCAAAAGUGAUGGUGAUGGUGAGUGUAACCUAUACAUAUCAUAGUUCACCGGGGAGUGAUAGGGAUUAGUGAACCUGAACUAUGCAUAUGAAUAGCUUAUCAAAAGUGAUGGUGAUGGUGAGUGUAACCUAUACAUAUCAUAGUUCACCGGGGAGUGAUAGGGAUUAGUGAACCUGAACUAUGCAUAUGAAUAGCUUAUCAAAAGUGAUGGUGAUGGUGAGUGUAACCUAUACAUAUCAUAGUUCACCGGGGAGUGAUAGGGAUUAGUGAACCUGAACUAUGCAUAUGAAUAGCUUAUCAAAAGUGAUGGUGAAUUCCUUUCUUGUAAUUAAGUUCCUAGGGUAGAUGAAACAUAAACUAUACCUAUUAUAGUUUAUUACUUUGUUUGUAAUAUGUAUUUACCAUAACUAUACCGAUUAUAACUAACGCGUUCGUUUGUGGGGGUAUAAUGGCUUAACUAUACUUAUUAUAGAUUAUCUUAAUCGUCCAUAGCGGCAAUAACUCUUUUGUAAGUGUAAGACCUUUAAUAUUGUGUUUGUUAUAUGAAUAACCCUAAACUAUACCUAUUAUAGUUUAUCGAUUGAUUUCGUGGGAAAUGAGCAUAGGCCUUACUUGUCAUAAUUUAUCAAUGUUUAUAUUUUAAUGGAUAUAGCCUCGUAAUAUCGUAUAUAUAUACAUUUGUCAUACUUGUGAAGGUGUAAAUCCAUUUGUUUUCUGAUGUAUGUCUAUGUAAGGAUAUAAAAUUUGUCAUAUAUUGCAACUACACAUAAUCACAUAACGAUGUAUACCUUGCUCAACAUGUUACAAGGUGAAAUGAAAUUUAUUGUGUUUUUCUGUUAAUAACAUUUUCUGUAACUGUUAUUGGAAAAAUUGUAGAAAAAUCAUAAAAUGUCCAAAUCAGGUUCUGUAACUUCUGAGAGUUUGGAAAAUGAGUCUAGUUUGUUCAUAAUUUUUAUUAUAAUUUUUAAUGACCUCUAACUUGGGUGAAAAAGUCCAUAAUCACAGACUGGUCCGGAUUGAUGUUUGAAAUGAUAGGCAGUUUUGUAAAAAUCACCAUAAAUUGUAGAAAAAUCGUAUGGAGAUGUGCAAGUAGUCAUUUUAAAGCUAAGAAGUGGAACUACAUGCACCUAAAACAGUUUUGAAAACAAAAAUAUUUAAGAUGUCCAAAACAGUCCGUGAAUGGAGUGAAACUUUUCUGAUGAAAGCUGUUAGAAAAAUGUAGUUAUGUUCUAAGUAUUUUAACUUGUAUUCCCCCCCUAAAAACUUGAGAAAACAUGAAAAUGUAGGGGUAUGAACUCACCUUGUGUGAUUUCAGUAGAUAAGUGUUGAAGAAGAGAAGUGUUCAACCCAAGAACACUUGAAGAAUCACUUGAAGAUUCGAAGCUCUAACACAAAUAUAAUGGAGUUUGUGUAAGAUAUCCAUGAUUUGAGUGGAAAUAAUUGAGAUAAUCAUAAAGAGAAUGGAUUAUGCUUACCAAAUGUGGAGGAAAAACUCAAGAUCAGCCCUUGAAUCUCGAAUUUCUAGAGAGAGAAAGUGAGAGAGAAAAGAGUUUGAUCUUCUUGUGAAAUGAGAGCAAAUGAGAGAAAAUGAGGAGAGAGGAUGAUUAUCCAGCUCUCAAAAACGUGGGGAUGGCUUGUGAGGGAGGUAAAAGGUACAAGGUAUGGUGGAAAGGAGUGUGGGUGGUCAUGGAGUGGGUAUGGGGGUUGCUUGCGUCAUAAAAUAAGGUAAAGUCAACACUCUACCUUU
rnacentral:lncRNA from 1 species